CGCAUCUGUGCAUGCAGCAUAUCAAUAAGCGGAGGAAAAGAAACUAACAAGGAUUCCCUUAGUAACGGCGAGUGAAGCGGGAAGAGCUCAAAUUUGAAAUCUUAAAGGUUUUCCCUUGACGAAUUGUAGUUUAAAGAAGUGUUUUCUGUUGAAGUUUUGGUAAAAGUUCUUUGGAAUAGGACAUCAUAGAGGGUGAGAAUCCCGUAUUUGACCAUUAUUUUCAGCUGUGUGAUACACUUUCAAAGAGUCGGAUUGUUUGGGAAUGCAGUCCAAAAUGGGUGGUAAAUUUCAUCUAAAGCUAAAUAUUGGCGAGAGACCGAUAGCGAACAAGUACCGUGAGGGAAAGAUGAAAGGAACUUUGAAAAGAGAGUUAAACAGUACGUGAAAUUGUCAAAAGGGAAGCGUUUGACACCAGCGUUGUUUUCUCGAAAAUCAAUUAAAAAGAGUUUAGAUUUUGUUGUGUAUUGACCUUAACAGCUUGCAUUUCAAUUUUCUUGCUUUUUUUAAUGCACUUUUCGUUUAACAAGUCAACAUCAGUUUCUUUUGUUGUAAAAAGGUCAUUGGAAGGUGGCUUACUUUUCGGAGAAAGUGUUUAUAGCCUUUGACUCCUGCAAUCGGAGAGACUGAGGUCUGCAGCGUAGAUCCUUCGGGGUUAGAUACAUUUGUGCUAAGUUAUAGCUUUUUAUAGACAACUUGUUGACUAUGAUUAGUCUUGUAGCUUACUCGCUUAUGCUAUUUUACCUACGCUUAGGAUGUUGAUGUGAUACUGCGAGCA
rnacentral:rRNA from 1 species